rnacentral:rRNA from 1 species
GUCCACGCCGUAAACGAUGGGUGCUAGGUGUGGGGAGUGUCGACUCUCUCUGUGCCGAAGCUAACGCAUUAAGCACCCCGCCUGGGGAGUACGGCCGCAAGGCUAAAACUCAAAGGAAUUGACGGGGGCCCACACAAGCAGCGGAGCAUGUUGUUUAAUUCGACGCAACGCGAAGAACCUUACCAGGGCUUGACAUGCACGGGAAUGCCGUAGAGAUACGGCAGCCCUUCGGGGCUCGUGCACAGGUGUUGCAUGGCCGUCGU